CUGCCCUUUCCAAAAGGAAGACGGUAUGAUUAAGUUCCAGGAAAGGGUGACAUUCAAGGACAUAGCUGUUAUCUUCACCAAGGAAGAGCUGGCAGUAUUGGAUAAAGCCCAGAUAAACCUGUACCAAGAUGUGAUGCUGGAAAACUUCAGGAACUUCAUCUCAGUGGGUGAACAGAGGAAUGACUUUGUCCCACACCUGUGAAGAUAAGCUAUCAAUUUACAUUACCAGGGUGAAAUUCAACAGAAAUGCUUUUGGAUAAAGAUGUUCAGGCCCACAGGGAAUUUCCUUGUCGACAAAUUGUGAAGGAGGAAGUUGAGUGAGGCCUGAGACAGCAAUGUUUCGUUUAGCCUGGCGGUGGCCCUCCUUGUCUUCAAGAAGAGCAUCCGUGGCUAGCAGUGGAAGAUGGGGUUGGGCCCCAGGUGAGUGACCCUUUGUCGAGUUUGCAGAAUUUGGUCUUGGCGGGUUGAGGAUCUCUUGUAUUUUGUGCGCUCUGUUCCUGCUCCAGGACUGACCAGGCAGUUCUGCCACCUUCUAGGGGUGUGAAAUUGGGAAGUAAUUCAAAAUGUAUGUGCCUAGCAUUCCUUUUAUGUAACAUGAGGGGAAUAGAAGUACCAAACCGAUGCAGUUCAGUGGAGAAUUAAAUGAGAUAGUCACAAGUAAAAGGUGGUAAGUGUGGUUCAUUUUAUUAAUUUUCUUUUAAUUUCCCGAGAAGCCCCAGUUACCUGAAAGCUUCUGUGAGCCUGGGAAGGGAUCAGAGUUCCACCUGCAGUGCUAUUUUGCCCCUUCUUUCUGAUCCUUACAGGAAGCAGGACGAUUCCUGGAUUCCCUUUUUAAAAAAGUGAGGGUGGGGGUGUGGGGAUGGGGGUGGGGGGUGGGGCGGGAAUCACUCCAGGCUACUGUAUGGGGAUGUCCUCUGUGAUUCGUGCAGGAGGGAGAUACAGUUCUGGUUUCUCGCAGAUGGUCACAGGAAUGAGGAAAGAAUGACUCUUUGGCUCCUAGCAGCAGAAUCUUAACUGAGUAUGACUUAGCAUCCUUCUUCUUUUUGUGUCAUCUCUCUUCUCAGGGCAGAAGAUAUUUACUAAUUAGCACAUUCUGCUAGCACAUCUGUGGGAAAAGGUAGGAAGGAAGGAGGGAGGGUGGGAAGGAGGAAAGAAGAUCCACUCCUUAUACUGGAAAAAAAGGAGCAAUAUACUUUUCCUCAAAAUGAGAAGUCAAGCCCAAAAGAAUUCUGUACAGACCACCUUAAAAUAACAUCUUUCAAGCCUGUCUGCAUGAUUUAGUUGCUUCUUUUUUUAAAAAAAUUUAAUUUAUUUUUAUUUUGUAGAGAUGCGGUCUUACUGCGUUGACCAGGAUGGUCUCAAACUCCUGGCUACAGGCUAUCCUCCUGCCUCUGUCUCCCAAAGUGCUGGGAUUACAAGCGUGAGCCACCAGGCCUGGCCCAAUUGCUUCUUAACAACUUACUAUUCUUUGUUCACUACAGUGUAUACAUAACUGACUUUUUAUUUGGAGCUUCAUUUUGUAAUGAAGGCUCUGGUCACAUGUAAGACUUGUAUUAAAUAAAUUUGCCUGCUGU
rnacentral:lncRNA from 1 species